AGAGUUUGAUCCUGGCUCAGAACGAACGCUGGCGGCAGGCUUAACACAUGCAAGUCGAGCGCCCCGCAAGGGGAGCGGCAGACGGGUGAGUAACGCGUGGGAAUCUACCUAUUACUACGGAACAACUCCGGGAAACUGGAGCUAAUACCGUAUACGUCCGAGAGGAGAAAGAUUUAUCGGUGAUAGAUGAGCCCGCGUUGGAUUAGCUAGUUGGUGGGGUAAUGGCCUACCAAGGCGACGAUCCAUAGCUGGUCUGAGAGGAUGAUCAGCCACACUGGGACUGAGACACGGCCCAGACUCCUACGGGAGGCAGCAGUGGGGAAUAUUGGACAAUGGGCGAAAGCCUGAUCCAGCCAUGCCGCGUGAGUGAUGAAGGCCUUAGGGUUGUAAAGCUCUUUCACCGGUGAAGAUAAUGACGGUAACCGGAGAAGAAGCCCCGGCUAACUUCGUG
rnacentral:rRNA from 1 species